rnacentral:rRNA from 1 species
AACGAACGCUGGCGGCAUGCCUAACACAUGCAAGUCGAACGAGACCUUCGGGUCUAGUGGCGCACGGGUGCGUAACGCGUGGGAACCUGCCCUUAGGUUCGUAAUAACUCCCCGAAAGGGGUGCUAAUACCGGAUAAUGUCUUCGGACCAAAGAUUUAUCGCCUUUGGAUGGGCCCGCGUUGGAUUAGCUAGUUGGUAGGGUAAAAGCCUACCAAGGCGACGAUCCAUAGCUGGUCUGAGAGGAUGAUCAGCCACACUGGGACUGAGACACGGCCCAGACUCCUACGGGAGGCAGCAGUGGGGAAUAUUGGACAAUGGGCGAAAGCCUGAUCCAGCAAUGCCGCGUGAGUGAUGAAGGCCUUAGGGUUGUAAAGCUCUUUUACCCGGGAUGAUAAUGACAGUACCGGGAGAAUAAGCGCCGGCUAACUCCGUG